AUUGAACGCUGGCGGCAGGCCUAACACAUGCAAGUCGAACGGUAACAGGAAACAGCUUGCUGUUUCGCUGACGAGUGGCGGACGGGUGAGUAAUGUCUGGGAAACCGCCUGAUGGAGGGGGAUAACUACUGGAAACGGUAGCUAAUACCGCAUAACGUCGCAAGACCAAAGAGGGGGACCUUCGGGCCUCUUGCCAUCGGAUGUGCCCAGAUGGGAUUAGCUAGUAGGUGGGGUGACGGCUCACCUAGGCGACGAUCCCUAGCUGGUCUGAGAGGAUGACCAGCCACACUGGAACUGAGACACGGUCCAGACUCCUACGGGAGGCAGCAGUGGGGAAUAUUGCACAAUGGGCGCAAGCCUGAUGCAGCCAUGCCGCGUGUAUGAAGAAGGCCUUCGGGUUGUAAAGUACUUUCAGCGGGGAGGAAGGGAGUAAAGUUAAUACCUUUGCUCAUUGACGUUACCCGCAGAAGAAGCACCGGCUAACUCCGUGCCAGCCGCCGCAGUAA
rnacentral:rRNA from 1 species